GUCUUGCUAUGUUGUCCAGCUGGCCUUGAACUCCUAGACUCAAGGAAUCCUCCUUCCUCAGUCUUCUGAGUAGAUGGGACGACAGGCUCGGGGCACAGCACUUGGCUACCAUGGGAGGGGUUUUUGUUUGUUUAUUUUGCUUUGUUUUUCCGUGGUGCUGGGGAUGGAACCCAGGGCCUCGUGCAUGCUAGACAAGUGCUCCUCAACUGAGCUCCCCCAGCCCCUCCCCUUUCUGUAAGGACACUGGUCACAAUGGAUUAGGGCCACCCUAAUGACCUUAUCUUUGCUGAGGACACGUGCAAAGACCCUAUUUCCUAUUUGGUCACAUUUUAAGGUACUGGGAGUGGGGGUAAUUUGGGGGAGAACAUGGUUCACCCUAAACAGGGCAGUUCAGAGAAGCCAAGGAUACUAUUCCCAGUGCAAGGAUGUCUGGGUUUCCUGGCGGCCUCCUGCUGUUCCUGGGGCUCCCCAGCACCCAGCCCUGAACUCUGGGGCUGGGGGUGACUUUCCAUCUCUGCUUCUCUGGACUGGGGCUCCCUGGGCGUCUCCUGCCGGGGGCCCUACGAAGGCUGAGCUUGGAGUGCUGGGUCUGGGGUGUGGGGAGGUGAGUGCUCCCUGACGUGGUGCCCUGGGCUGACCAGCACAGAAGGGACCGUGGGGACAGGAGAGCACACACAUUGGCUGCCCCCACAGGCAGGUGUCCAGGGGCCGAGGGCAUAGAGAACAAGGGGCAGUUAUGGGUUCAAAUCCUGCUGGGGUGCCUGCCGCUGGGCAGUGGCUGUGCCCCUCAUACCUCACCUUUUCUGGGUGAAACGCCAUCUGCAGGGUCCGGGCCGAUGUGCCCAGCGAGGCCGCUUGGCCAGGACCGUGUGGACACUGCUGAGGGGAGGGACCGAGGACAGGCACCUGCCUGGGGGCUGGCCCUGAGCCUUCAAGGCUGGGCCCCUCCUGCAGAGCAACAGCAGCCCCUCUGCCACGGGACCCCCAGCUUGGCCCUGGGUGGGGUGCGGGGCCGGGCGGGGUCGGGCGCGGGCGGCUCAGCUGGGCUGACAGUAAAAUUGCCUCGUGGUUUCCUCCUGCUCUGCCGGUCCUGCCAGGGCUCAAAAGUAAGUCACCCAUGGGGCUCGGGGUGGCAGGAGCCUGGGGUGUGUGGUGGCGAUGGGCACCCGCGGGGCAUGCCAACCCCCACCUCAGAGGCAGGCAGGGUGCAUGUCUGUCCCAUGGGUUGGUGUGAAGAUUC
rnacentral:lncRNA from 1 species